AGUUUGGCUGGGGCGGCACAUCUGUUAAACAAUAACGCAGGUGUCCUAAGGGGGACUCAUGGAGAACAGAAAUCUCCAGUAGAACAAAAGGGUAAAAGUCCCCUUGAUUUUGAUUUUCAGUGUGAAUACAAACCAUGAAAGUGUGGCCUAUCGAACCUUUAGUCCCUCGGAGUUAUGAGGCUAGAGAUGCCAGAAAAGUUACCACAGGGAUAACUGGCUUGUGG
rnacentral:rRNA from 1 species